CGCAAGCGAGUUUCCGAGCCGAACAUACUCUUCAAUAAAUUUCCGGUUCUCUCCUUUGGCGCAUAAUUUCCUAUUAAAGAAUAAGUCGGGCUUCUCAAUAAACAGUUCUUAACAAGAGGGUUCCUAAAAGAAAGCUGGUCCUAAUCCGCGAUCGAGCAGUACUCCCACCACCGUGCUUGUUUGAAUUCUACCGGAUUCAUUUCAAGGCUCCUCAAUAAGAGCGUUCGGUGAAGUUUGAUUAUUUAUUACUUUCUAGUUCUUAAACGCAACGAUUAAAAAAAUAAUAAUAAAAAGUGCAUUGUUUUCCAUGUAUCGAUCCCUGCAAUAUCUUUUAGAAAUAACCAUGAAUUACACGGAUAAAACAGACGUUUAACUCUAUACGAACCAGAAAAAUCAAGGAGAGUCCAAGUGCUCUUAUUAAGAGACCUGCUUACGUUUCGAGCGCUUGAGCUUUUUGGUAGAGUGUAGGGAUACCACACUUCUCGGAAAUUCCUUCCCCUAAAGCCCCAUGGUUGAUCUUAUUGAGAGGCCCGACUGUAAUACCAACUCGACGUUCCUACUACUAGAAAAAUGUAGUUGCUGCCAAUAGGAAAAAGGAAGCUUGUGUCAGGUGUUAGGUAUGCCCGCGUCAACUCGGGUUGGAUAUUUUCUUCUUUCAACCUCUUCAACGUAAUGAAUGGCAAAUUGCCUCGUGAAUCGAUCGGUGAUCCACAUUCUAAUCGUAACAAACAGAAACAUUAUAUGAAUUUGGAGAAAAGUCAAAUAAGCUUUACAUUGCAUAGAAUAAAAUCAUUUUUCUUCUUCAAAAUUACUGUGUUUAUAUAGAUUUUGAAAUUACACUUUUAAAAGGCCUCACAUUGAUUAAUUAUUCUUAUCGAUUAUUUUUAUGAAUAAUCGUACAUUUGAUAGAAGAACUUUAACUUUUCAAUUUCCAAUUGAUACUUUUGAUAAUGAUUAUGAACGUUUCAUUGUGAAUUAUUGUACUUUUACCUUACAAAGUAUUAAAAAAAAAAGAAAAAAUCAUUUCUCACUAAUUGUCAUAGCAAAAUAUGGUACUUAAGAAAUUCGUCGAUGCAACGUUCGAAAUCUGAUCAUUGUAACCAUGCAACAUAGUCGCAUCAAUUUUCUCAUUCCAAUGUUCACUUUUCGUAGGUAGCGUAACGGGUGAGCCAUUUCUCAAUACAACUAUAAAAAGAAGUUAAGGUCAUUUCCAACUAUGCACAACCGCGUUCCCAGUACCAGACAUUUCUCUCAGUUUAUGAAUUAAUUUUUACUGAAAUAGUAUCACAUUCCUAAAUAUAAUAGCUUUAUUUGUAUCGUAAGAACACUU